UACGUAGGGUGCGAGCGUUGUCCGGAAUUCUUGGGCGUAAAGGGCUCGUAGGCGGUUUGUCGCGUCGGGAGUGAAAACACCGGGCUUAACUCGGUGCUUGCUUUCGAUACGGGCAGACUUGAGGCAUGCAGGGGAGAACGGAAUUCCUGGUGUAGCGGUGAAAUGCGCAGAUAUCAGGAGGAACACCGGUGGCGAAGGCGGUUCUCUGGGCAUGUUCUGACGCUGAGGAGCGAAAGUGUGGGGAGCGAACAGG
rnacentral:rRNA from 1 species